rnacentral:misc_RNA from 1 species
AUCAAACUAAAAAGUAACUUCUGCAUGAUAAUUCCCACAAGCAUCAUUAGCAUGAUCCAAACAUUACUAGUUGCAACCACAUUUCAACAGCUAAUUCAAGACCAACAAUAACAAACAAGCAAACAUUCAUUGAUCAACUUCCCAACCAAAAAUUGAUCUGUUUCUCUUAAAAUAUUCAUCCUGAAGUGAAAAAAUUACCAACUGGUUGUAUAUAUUUUUCAAUCUUUAAAAUCUAUAGAAAACCAAAAGCUCCAAUUACCAACUAUGAGUAGCAUCAAAUAAACUAUACAAGCAGAGAUUCUGUAAUCAGGCGAAUCAGAAUGGUUCUUUAGUUAUCUGUAGCAAAGUAAUCAUUUUUUCCAUUUUUUAUUAAUGACCACAUUCUACAUCAACCUUUCUGAUUUGUGUUAACAACAAUACGGAUUCUACAUCAAGAACAUAAUUGCCUCAACAACCAAACCAAUUAGAACACCAAUUCUUUUAGGAACUGAAGUAAAAGGAAAAAAAAAUCCAUAAAUAAUAUGAAAACCUAAGUCAACUAUCAAUCCCUUCACUUCCUCCAAAAAUUUUCUCAUCAACCUAACAAAUCAAAGU